AGGGGAAGCGGAGCCGCCAGACAGAACCCGGAGCCUAACACCAGCGAGGCUAAGACCGAGCUCGGCUCCCCGGCUCCUGAGAGAACGAAAGUCAAGGAGCACGAAGCUGAGACGCUCAAAAUUAGUAGGAAAAGAAAAAAAUACAUAACAUCUAAAUAAAAAUAAAAAUUUAAAAUAAUGAAAGUCUGAAAUGAAAGUAAAAACGGAAAACACAUCGGUAACACUGUCCUCAGAGCAAAAUACACAAAAAUAAUGUUUAAAUUAGCGAAAAUUACAGAGAGCCAACCGUACAAAGAAGAAAUUACAAAUAUGGCUAGACGAUGCAAUGCCUACCAUUAGAAUGUUUCUGUCAGAUCUAAAACCCUGCAGGUUGCUCCUGUCAUAAUUUCCUACGACAAACAAAAAUAGCCACAGUUAAACGUGUUUAGGUACGACUAAAAAAUCGUAGUAACUGGUAUAUGCCGAUUUGGUCCACAGGAGGAAAAAGUCGCGAUGGGCGGGACUUGCUAUUGUCAAAGGGAGCUCGGUAAAACUGAGAAAUCGCGUUCGCCGGCGUUCCUGACUUCCCUGGGAGUUUUGAAAACACACAAGCGUAUCUAAGACGGGACUCGAUAUUGCGAAACCAAACUUGGUAUAAGAGCUCCCAACACCACUAAACUGGCCAUCACUAAACCUUUACAAAACAAAACAAAACAAAACAAAACAAAACAAAAAAUCGCAUUCGCUGGUAUCCAGAUUUCCACAGGAGUUAAACAUCUCCUGCGCAGCCAAAGCAAGGCUCACUAGUAGGAAACCGGAACUUGCUAGGACUAAGAAACUUGAGGCUGGGUUGACCCCAUGGCUGUUAGGAUUAGAAUUCCGACACUAACGGAGACCCGGAGCUGCUAACAAAUGAGUCACAGUAACUCCGUCUUCGUAUGGCAAAACGGUGACUUCCUACGACCUAGAUAUCGCAGCCAGGGCUAGUCCGGUGUUUGUCUUAAGUCAGGACUUGAUUGGGCUGAGAAAUCACAUUUUGGCCAUUCCCCUACUUGGACACGGGGUAGAAAUCCCAGGCACCGCGAAAUCGAAACUCGCUAGGACCCAGAAGCCAACGACGCUCGAAACCGCGGGGUCCUGCGACAGAGACGAGCAGCAGCGCCGCCACGGGACUGCGUUCUGGAGGCCGAGCUGGAACCCGUGCGGCGGCGCUGGGAAGAGACUGUGCCCGUGCAGCUCCCCUGUCACCGGCUCCGAGGAGCGUCGGGCUCCCCCAGCCCAGCCCUGCAGCACCCGUCCGUCCGGCAACGCCAGACUCAGCGCAACUGGGCCACCUGCCACUUUGAAUCUCUCAGAUCCGUGGCCUGAGGGCUGCCGCCACCGAGAAAUGGAGGCACAGAGCUGCGAACAAGAGACCACCGCUCGGCGAAAUGGCGGUGCCAGGACCCUGGGAGGGAAUGCAGCCAGCGACGUUGUCAAGGACAACAUUCGUUUGGGCGCAACCAAUGGUGCUGUCACAAAGAAACCGUCGACUCUGAGGAAAAAAAGAGAAGUUCGGCCACCGAGAAACUCCGUUCAACAAUUGCUGUGACGGCCGGCUCCGCGCCGGUGGAGAAAGAGUCAGCGGAAACGCUGGGUGCUGCGACCGCGACGCCGGCACUAGAGGGCCUCGGCUGGAGAAAGCCCCCACGGAGACAAGGAAACUGUGCACAGCACAGCUAGCAGUUGACACAAACAGAAAAGUAUCUGCUCUGCUCUCUGGCAGAAAGCGGGGAUCAAAACGAGCAACUCAGUGGAGGGAAUCCCGCAGCCACUGAAGAAGUUACCCGAGUGGCUGUGGGGCCAGAGAAACACCGCAAUUUCGACGACAGCCAUUGGGAUACGACAGAGAAACAUUCGCGGCCACAGAAGUACCAUCCAGCUCCGCGCAACCAGUGGUUCUGCGAUCCAGAAACCACUGCCAGCUGGAUUCGACUAGAAACUUCUGAAAAACUGUCGUCUCAUAGCAGCUUUCCUCUCUACGACAGACAGUCGCCUUUAGAGGGCACCUAACGGUGCUUAGACCGGCCUGGGCCAGCACAAAGCGCAGAGCAGUGCCCGUGCCAAGAAACGCCCGACUUUGUGAAACCAACCUUAUGACCACUGAGUCCACUGGCUUCGCAGGACGCAAUGGGCAAAGGCGCCGCGGAGAAACCGCGGACUCGGUUCACCGAUUAUGCUGCUGGCGGGUGAUGGUGGGGUGGGGCAGCCGCAAAGUUGUGAAACCAGCGGCGCUGGGACCCAGCGAUCACCUGCCCGUAGCAAAUGCCUGUGCAGUUGCAAAGGACAACUUUUGGCGGAGGGAAGGCUGCAGUCAGAGAGCAUCCGAUAACCCUGACAAAGGAGUGGCGUUGGCAGUAAGAAACCGCUGGCGCUGGGAAAGGAACAGUGCAGCGACCGACCAACUGCGCGCUCGGUGCCACCAAAGUGCUACCGGUUCUACCCACUCUGUCCCCCACAGGCUUAGGGAAGUCUGUUGUCCUUUUCUUUUUUCCUCUGUGGCGUAGGCUGGUGCAGUGGUGUCAUCUUGGCUCAGUGCAGCCUCGACUUCCUGGGAUCCAGCGAUCCUCCCGCCUCAGCCUCUAGAGUAGCCGAGACCACAGUUAAACUAUACUUUUCCUGAAGACCUGUAAGCUGAAGCUGGAUGGUUUAAUAUAGACUGCAAAGAAAUCAAAUCAUCACAACUCAUGCAUGGACUAAAAACUACUACUUUUUCUCCCCUACGAUAGACACUGGCAGUAACGAGAAUCUAACAUCCCAUGGAAUUUCCCUCACUUCCCCUUUUCUUACCUGAUUCAAUCAUAACAACCCUGAUGAUUUUCAAUUGCGUCUAUAGUUUUCACCUUAAUCCUAUCCGGUCCUGAGGCAAUUUUUCCAGGCAAAUUAGUGAUUAUCUCCCAACUACUUGGACUUUGGUGUCUGCCAUUCUGUAUAUGACAGAGCACACUCCGUACUGGACUGAAUCAUUUACUCCCUUUCCUAGACAAGCCACAUAGCUUCGCCUGAUCUAGAGGCUAAAAUAUGGAGCCCCAUUCAUCAUCUUUGGAAGGGCUGUCUUGAAGGCAGUAUGUCCAGAGCCCCACAUGCCACCUGGCCUAAACCUAAAAUAAGCCAGGACUGGGAACUGGACAGCCUUACUGUACUGAGCCACUACUGUCAGUGUCUCCAGUUCUGUGCACAUAUGAAGUGCAGUGCAUUCAGGCUGCCAUGCUGGGCCUACAUAAGCUAGAGUCAUUCCUGAAGUUUAAAGGGGACAAAAAUGUUGUUGAGACCCACAUGUCUGGGGCCAAUUGCUGAAACUAGAGAAGAGCUACAUGCACUUGAAAAACAGGUGUAAGCUAUAGACAACACAACACAAUGGGCCCUGACCCAGCCAGGAGAUGCCAACCAGCAAAGAUGGACAGACAGAUGCCCAGAGCAACUCUCAGAGCCCAGUCUGCCCCCAAGAAAUUGCUGAAAACUAAGGCUUAGGACAGACUGGAACCCAGAAAAUAAAGGAACCCAGUCUUGCUCAUGGCUCAUGGCACCAGCCCUUUCUACCAAUGCCUUGGAAUGAAUUAAUGCACCCCAGUGGGAGCCCUCAUGCUGUUCUUGUGGACUUCCACAGGACUGUGCCCUGCCUGGAACUGGAAGUCUCUGCAGUGAAGAUCCUUCCAUAUUUUGCUCUUCCUCUUCUGAAUCACUUCAAGGCUUUCAACUGGAAAAAAAUCUGUUUGCAUAAUCAAUAAUGUGCUAAGGAACUUUACUUUUAGAUCUCAGAAUUCAUAGUUCUUUGUACAUGAGGAUUGAAGCCUUCCAUAUUCUCCACCCGUGACAUAGAUUUGGAGUGGGUGGAGUCAGGAUUAGAAGCACAUAUAGGUGGGCAGGGUGGCAUGAAGGGGACUGGGACCCACAUCAGAGCUGGAGGCUGAACUCCAGGGAGCCUUUGAAUAACUAUGGAUAUGAUGUCAACACGGUGGGAAAGGGCAGUGGUCCACCGUCCUGGGGUAAUCUUGAAGCUGAGCAUAGCCUCCCUGCUGACAGCAGAGAACAAUCAUCAUUAAACAUUCCUUCAAUGGUCUGAAGUUUAUAUUCACAGGGUGGGAGUAGAAAUUAAAUUUAUGGAGCCAUGAGGAAGACCCCCAGCCCUGUGCCUUUUGAAUUGACAACCAUGGGAUUCCAGGGCAUCAGCUCCAGGUCAGACAUUCCAGGCAGUUGCAGAAUUCUGCCAGUGUGGGUCAUGCCCAUCUCAAGAAUUCACAUGGAUUGAAUCCAGCAAAACCGAAUAUCCAGCAAAACUUCAAAAUCCAGCAACACUGAAGGCUCAAGAACAUCACUGGUGCAUACUUGGCCCAGGGAGGCUAUUCUCUCACAGUCUCUCCCCAUCUCAGGGCCUGCAGCAUCUGAGACUCACUCCUUCCUGCAGGUAUCCCAGGAGAAAGAUUUAUGCAUCCCCAUAGCUUCAACCUGCAGUGUGCCAGGCACAGAAAAAUGGUUGUCUUCAGAAAGAGAUGAAAAAACAUGCAGUAGCAAUCACCCUUUGGACUUCGAAACUUUCCUGUCACCUUAGAUGUGAUAAAUUAAAACCCAGAAACUCAGUGUUGGUAUUAAUUGUGUCUAGCUAUGAGGUCAUUUUUUUUUUUCACACUGUCACAGUUUUAAAUUUGAAUAUAGAGGAGCUUAGGUGCUACAAUCUGAAUGGAACGUGGGAAUAAAACUGUCUUUGCCUUGCACUUCUCUUUAGAUUGAUUAAAUACCAGUUAUCGGUAUAAGAAAAUGGCAAUAAAUUGUCAAAGUAGAAUUGGAAAGUGGUUUUGUGAUUGGAUAUGGAGCAGGCUUCCCAUGUGACCAUUCUCACUUCCUAUUCUGAAGUCUUACAGUCUACUUUUGUUUCUCUCCCUCUCUUCAUCGAUUCUGGUGUUUGGAUACUCUGGGAACUGAGCUUUCAUCUCCUAUGUUAGCCACAGAGAUGAGGGCUUUGAGGGCACCAUGGAAUCAGAUUUUGGAAAUGACAUAGAAAUCACAGGCACUCAAGCUCGACAGAGCUUAAAGUAAAAAAAAAAAAAAAAAAAAUUAAAAAUCAGGCACACACACAAAAAAACAAAACAAAAUAAAAAUUAAAAAUCAGGCACACACACACACACACAAAAACAAAAUAAAACAAAAACAAACAAAAAAUGAGAAGACUGCUAAACUCUACAAUUCUAUAAAGAAGGACUGCAAAAAAGAAAUCACAGAAAACAAUAAGAAAAUUUAAAGUGAUAUCA